rnacentral:rRNA from 1 species
GUUUGAUCCUGGCUCAGAUUGAACGCUGGCGGCAUGCCUUACACAUGCAAGUCGAACGGUAACGCGGGGCAACCUGGCGACGAGUGGCGAACGGGUGAGUAAAGCAUCGGAACGUGCCCAGUAGUGGGGGAUAGCCCGGCGAAAGCCGGAUUAAUACCGCAUACGACCUACGGGUGAAAGGGGGGGAUCGCAAGACCUCUCGCUAUUGGAGCGGCCGAUGUCAGAUUAGGUAGUUGGUGGGGGUAAAAGGCCUACCAAGCCGACGAUCUGUAGCUGGUCUGAGAGGACGACCAGCCACACUGGGACUGAGACACGGCCCAGACUCCUACGGGAGGCAGCAGUGGGGAAUUUUGGACAAUGGGCGCAAGCCUGAUCCAGCCAUGCCGCGUGCGGGAGAAGGCCUGGUGUAACG